GCCGUUGUGGUGUAGUGGUCAGUAUUCUUGACGCGUAUUCGAGAGGUCCGUGGUUCGAGUCCCGGCGAGGGUA
rnacentral:tRNA from 1 species